GCAUAACGCGAAGAACCUUACCAGGGUUUGACAUCCUUGGAAUCGGGCAGAGAUGCCUGAGUGCCCUUCGGGGAACCAAGAGACAGGUGGUGCAUGGUUGUCGUCAGCUCGUGUCGUGAGAUGUUGGGUUAAGUCCCGUAACGAGCGCAACCCUUGUCCUUAGUUACCAGCACGUUAUGGUGGGCACUCUAAGGAGACUGCCGGUGACAAACCGGAGGAAGGUGGGGAUGACGUCAAAUCAUCAUGCCCCUUAUGACCUGGGCUACACACGUGCUACAAUGGAUGGUACAAAGGGCUGCAAAACCGCGAGGUUGAGCCAAUCCCAUAAAACCAUUCUCAGUUCGGAUUGUAGGCUGCAACUCGCCUACAUGAAGCCGGAAUCGCUAGUAAUCGCGGAUCAGCAUGCCGCGGUGAAUACGUUCCCGGGUCUUGUACACACCG
rnacentral:rRNA from 1 species